rnacentral:lncRNA from 10 species
CUAGCACUUUGGGAGGCUGGGGCAGAAAGACUGCUUGAACCUAGGAGUUCAAGACCCGCCUGGGAAACAUGGCGAAACCCCAUCUACACAAAAAUUAGCUGGGCACAGUGGCAUGUGCCUGUAGUCUCAGCUACUGUGGGGUGUAAGGGGGUGGUGCUGAGGUGGGAGGAUCACUUGAGCCCGGGAGGUGGAGGCUGCAGUGAGCUGUGAUCACGUCACUGCACUCCAGCCUGGGCAAUAGAGCAAGACCCUGUCAAAAAAAAAAACAAAAAACUGGACAUUCUUGGCAGUUGACAGUGACAUUGGACAUCCAAUACUCACCAACAUCUGGUCUUUUAAAUUCAAAAGGAAUAAAAGUCUUGAGCCUGUGGGUUGAAAACCAGACCCGAGCCAUCCUUGUUUGUCACAAGUCCUCCGGGAAUGUGUGUGUUUGCCUUUCCUUGCUCUUCCCUUGAAGAAUGCCGCUUGCACAGUUCCUGUUUCCAAUUAUCAGUGGCCAGUCCAACCACCAAGCCUGAGUGUAUCAGUUUCAGACAGAUCAUAAUUUUUGAAAAAUACCACUUGCUAUGAGUGGCAUCAAGAAAAAUCAAGAAAAAGCUACAUUAAACAGACAAGUCAAUUCUUCAUUUAGGAGAAUGCUCUUUAACACUGCACAGAAUGUUUCCGAUGUUCAGAGAGUGGUUUUUCCAUUGCAAACUGGCCAACUCUUGCUUUUCUGCUUUUUAAUUUUUGGUCAAUCUGGAGCCACCAUUUGCAAGUGAAAACCGCCCUUUGUUUGAGCAGGGGCAGGUUGUAGGGCAUACUGCCGUUUCAUCUCUACCCCAGAGCACCUCGCACUCAGGCAGUGGUGUGGAGGACCGAAGCCAUGUGUGCAGGAACCACACCAGAAGACCAGAUAUGCACAGAGGGAGAAAGUCCUGAAGGAUGCUGGCCAGCUUUUAACCCCCAUGAUGAGAAGACAAAAGUUUGAAUCAUCCCCAACUUGGAAAGCUGUCUCAGAUUAUGGAGAAACAUCAGUUUUAUUUUUACUUUGAUCCUGUAUCUAUUUUGGGAAGCAUUUUGGGGAACGAUCUCCUCCAACAUGUCUGGGCUUUUCUUGAGAACUCUUUACAAAAGGGCCAAUGGGUAAGCAAAAAAUUAGGAGGCGAAGGCAUUUCAGCGAGUUCUAGCAUUCCCGCCCCAGUUCCUGUUAGCAUUUUGGGCAUUCAGAGCGGGCUCCAUUGCUGGAAUAAAUGGCCUCAUUGUCCUGGCUGCAGGGAUGUGUCUCUGGGAGUUACAAGACUGGCAUUUCCUUUUUCUUUUUUUAUUUAUAACUUCUAUUAAUAGAUACUCCAAGGAUGAAGGGAAUUUUAAGAAAGGGAAAAGCUGGGCUUCAAAUAAUGCAUUGAUUCUUCUAGCCCUCACAUCGUCACGACAGAGCCAAUGACUGGGAGAUAACUCAGUGUGCUGGGAGCUCUCAGAAAACUGCUCACCCUUUACUUGCUUAUAUUUGGAAAGUAAGGCGAGCUACCCACUGUAUUUAAGAGGUGCUAUUGCCUCACCAUCUUAGCAUUAGACAAUGGAUGUGGGAUACAUUCGUUUUCCUACCUAUGUGAGAAGAGCCAAACUUACCCAUUGCUGACACAGGAGGAAGACACAGACCCUGUUCAAAGGCUCCAGGCCGUCCUUUUCCAUGAGAAAUCUCAAAAACAAGAAGGUUGAUCAGCUAUGUCAGGGGUCAGCAAAUUACAGCCCAAAGGCCAAAUCUGGCCCACCACCUAAUUUUGUACAACCUACAAGCUAAGAAUGUUUUCUAUAUUUUUAAAUGACUAAAAAAAAAAAAAAUCAGAAGAAUAUUUUGUGACACAUAAGAAUUACACGAACUUCACAUUUCAGUGUCCAUGUAGGAUAUCCUCAUUGUUUGCGGAUUCUCAGUUUGCAAAUUUGGCUACUGGCUGAACUGUAUUUUUAAGCCCAAUAGCAAUUCUGGAGGUGCUUCUGUGAUCAUUCUUAGACAUGCACAAAGCAGGGAAAAGUUUAAGUUGCCCAGUGCACGUGUUCCUCACUGAGGCCAAACAGGGCGAUGCCCUGCCUCUUUGUUUCACACUGAACUAAUGUCUUUUCUGUGGUCUAUUGAGUGCCAUGUUUUUCACAUUUUGUUGCUUUUUAUUGGUGAUUUCAAUAUUUAAAAUGGCCCCCAAGGCCAGGCAUGGUGGCUCAUGCCUGUAAUGCCAGCACUUUGGGAGGCCAAGACAGGAAGAUCACUUGAGCCCAGGGGUUCAAGACCAGCCUGGACAACAUAGUGAGACCUUGCCUCUACAAAAAUUUCUUUAAAAGAAUUAGCCAGGCAUGGUGGUGCGCACCUCUAUUCCCAGCUUUGGGAGGCUGAAGUAGA